GGGCUUUGGCAGCACAUAUACUAAAACCGGGAUGAUAGAGAAGUUUAGCAUGGGCCCUGCACAAGGAUGACAUGCAAACUCAAGAAGCAUUCCAUAUUUUG
rnacentral:snRNA from 1 species